UCUUGACUAUCAUGAAAAAAAAAGAAAAAAAUCGUUCAUAUUUCCCACGGGGUACCACCGGAUUGGAUCGGAUCGGAUCGCAUUUUAAGAAAGCUCCAAUGGCCCUGAUUAUUCCGGAGUUAUUUCUUGGCAGUAAACAAGAUUGCUCCCGGAUGUCGCAGGAUCAACAGAAUCGGUCGGAAAAAAGUUUUCUCCUUCAAUUGACUGAAAAAUGUCGAUCCUCAUCCGAAAGAAAAAGCUUCCUCCUUCCUCGAUUAGGGUUCCGGCGGAAAACCUGAAUAUAAGCGCCGUAUCGGAAGGCAUAGGCUCCAAAGGCAGAGGCUAAUAGUUAUCCGGGGAUAAGUUAUCCUGCAAGUGUACUAACCGGUUUUGCAGUGGAUUUGAUAAGAAACAUUUGUUGCUCGAUUGCAGAGACGGCUCGGAAGCAAAACUGGUCUGUCACAAAAGCCCUGAAUCGCAAG